UCAAAAAAAAACCUAUCUUUAAUUUAUUGCAAGUCAUCAAGGUCUGUACAAAUACGAUAGGAGUUUAUGAAAACUCACUAUAUAUUGGUUAAAGACAUACUGCAUAAGAACAUAUGAAAUAAAUAACACACCCUAAUAAGAACGGAAAUUAAGUCAGCAUUGAAUCAGCAGUCAAUUUGGUCUCCACCUGAAUCAACAAACGGAAAACUGGAGCAAUCCAGUAACCUUCAGCUUAAUCCCAUUUCCUUCCUAGAUAGAAGACAUCAGAUGCUUGACUUUCAUCCAUUCAUGAGAUGAAUCUCAAAUUUGUCUCAGAACUUUCAGGUAUUUGCAGAUAAACUGAUCAGAACUCAUAAAGAUAGCAGAAGAUUU
rnacentral:misc_RNA from 1 species